rnacentral:rRNA from 1 species
CGGGAGUCGAUCAACAGGGAUUGCCUUAGUAACGGCGAGUGAAGCGGCAACAGCUCAAAUUUGAAAGCUGGCUCCGGCCCGCAUUGUAAUUUGCAGAGGAUGCUUUUGGUGAGGUGCCUUCCGAGUUCCCUGGAACGGGACGCCACAGAGGGUGAGAGCCCCGUAUGGAUGGACACCAAACCUGUGUAAAGCUCCUUCAACGAGUCGAGUAGUUUGGGAAUGCUGCUCAAAAUGGGAGGUAAAUCUCUUCUAAAGCUAAAUACCGGCCAGAGACCGAUAGCGCACAAGUAGAGUGAUCGAAAGAUGAAAAGCACCUUGAAAAGGGGGUUAAACAGUACGUGAAAUUGUUGAAAGGGAAGCAUUUAUGACCAGACUUGCGCCGGGCAGCUCAUCAGGGGUUCUCCCCUGUGCACUCUGCCCGGCUCAGGCCAGCAUCGGUUCUCGUGGGAGGAUAAGAACGGUAGGAAUGUGGCCCCCUCUCGGGGGGGUGUUAUAGCCUGCCGUACGAUACUCCCGUGGGGACCGAGGUUCGCGCUCCGCAAGGAUGCUGGCGUAAUGGUCAUCAAUGACCCGUCUUGAAACACGGACCAAGGAGUCGUCCAUUAGAGCGAGCGUUUGGGUGUAAAACCCGCACGCGUAAUGAAAGUGAACGCAGGUGAGAGCUUCGGCGCAUCAUCGACCGAUCCUGAUGUUCUCGGAUGGAUUUGAGUAAGAGUUUUAACGGACGGACCCGAAAGACAGUGAACUAUGCUUGUAUAGGGUGAAGCCAGAGGAAACUCUGGUGGAGGCUCGCAGCGGUUCUGACGUGCAAAUCGAUCGUCAAAUAUGAGCAUGGGGGCGAAAGACUAAUCGAAC